CUACGGGGCGCAGCAGUGAGGAAUAUUGCACAAUGGGGGGAACCCUGAUGCAGCAACGCCGCGUGGAGGAUGACGCAUUUCGGUGUGUAAACUCCUUUUAUAUGUCAAGAAAAUGACGGUAGCAUAUGAAUAAGCACCGGCUAACUCCGUGCCAGCAGCCGCGGCAAUACGGAGGGUGCAAGCGUUACUCGGAAUCACUGGGCGUAAAGGACGCGUAGGCGGGUUGGAAAGUCAGGUGUGAAAUCCUACAGCUUAACUGUAGAACUGCACUUGAAACUUCUAAUCUAGAGUAUGGGAGGGGGGGAUGGAAUUAGUGGUGUAGGGGUAAAAUCCGUAGAUAUCACUAGGAAUACCUAAAGCGAAGGCGAUCUCCUGGAACAUUACUGACGCUAAGGCGUGAAAGCGUGGGGAGCAAACAGGAUUAGAUACCCGGGUAGUC
rnacentral:rRNA from 1 species